GUUAGGUGGGGGUAACAUAGAAA
rnacentral:piRNA from 1 species